rnacentral:rRNA from 1 species
GCUGGCGGCGUGGAUAAGACAUGCAAGUCGAACGGAGUUGUUUGGUAGCAAUAUUGAAUAAUUCAGUGGCGAACGGGUGCGUAACACGUGGGUCACAUUCUGGGAAGCGGGGGAUAACCCAGGGAAACUUGGAUUAAUACCCCAUGUGGUCGCGAGACCAAAGGCGCAAGCCGCUUCCUGAUUGGCCCGCGGCCUAUCAGCUAGUUGGUGGGGUAACGGCUCACCAAGGCUACGACGGGUAGCUGGUCUAAGAGGACGACCAGCCACACUGGAACUGAGACACGGUCCAGACACCUACGGGUGGCAGCAGUCGAGAAUCUUUCACAAUGGGGGCAACCCUGAUGGAGCGACGCCGCGUGGAGGAUAAGGUCUUCGGAUUGUAAACUCCUGUCAUGCGAGAACAAAGCCUCACGGCCUGAUAGUAUCGCAAGAGGAAGAGACGGCUAACUCUGUGCCAGCAGCCGCGGUAAUACAGAGGUCUCAAGCGUUGUUCGGAAUCACUGGGCGUAAAGGGUGCGUAGGCGGCGCGGAAAGUCAGAUGUGAAAUCCGGAGGCUCAACCUCCGAAUUGCAUCCG